UGGCGGCGUGCCUAAUACAUGCAAGUCGAGCGGACAGAAGGGAGCUUGCUCCCGGAUGUUAGCGGCGGACGGGUGAGUAACACGUGGGUAACCUGCCUGUAAGACUGGGAUAACUCCGGGAAACCGGAGCUAAUACCGGAUAGUUCCUUGAACCGCAUGGUUCAAGGAUGAAAGACGGUUUCGGCUGUCACUUACAGAUGGACCCGCGGCGCAUUAGCUAGUUGGUGAGGUAACGGCUCACCAAGGCGACGAUGCGUAGCCGACCUGAGAGGGUGAUCGGCCACACUGGGACUGAGACACGGCCCAGACUCCUACGGGAGGCAGCAGUAGGGAAUCUUCCGCAAUGGACGAAAGUCUGACGGAGCAACGCCGCGUGAGUGAUGAAGGUUUUCGGAUCGUAAAGCUCUGUUGUUAGGGAAGAACAAGUGCAAGAGUAACUGCUUGCACCUUGACGGUACCUAACCAGAAAGCCACGGCUAACUACGUGCCAGCAG
rnacentral:rRNA from 1 species